rnacentral:rRNA from 1 species
GUCUGCGGCCAUGCUACCAUGAACAAGCCCAAUCCCGUCUGAUCUCGGAAGCUAAGCAGGGUCGGGCCUGUGUAGUACUUGGAUGGGAGACCGCCUAGGAAGACCAGCUGCUGUAGGUG